GCGGCCAUCGUAUAGUGGUAGUACAGGAGCUUCCCAAGCUUCUAGCCCGGGUUCGAUCCCCGGUGGCCGCA
rnacentral:tRNA from 1 species